AGUGAACGCUGGCGGUAGGCCUAACACAUGCAUGUCGAACGGCAGCACAGUAAGAGCUUGCUCUUACGGGUGGCGAGUGGCGGACGGGUGAGGAAUACAUCGGAAUCUACUUUUUCGUGGGGGAUAACGUAGGGAAACUUACGCUAAUACCGCAUACGACCUACGGGUGAAAGCAGGGGAUCUUCGGACCUUGCGCGAUUGAAUGAGCCGAUGUCGGAUUAGCUAGUUGGCGGGGUAAAGGCCCACCAAGGCGACGAUCCGUAGCUGGUCUGAGAGGAUGAUCAGCCACACUGGAACUGAGACACGGUCCAGACUCCUACGGGAGGCAGCAGUGGGGAAUAUUGGACAAUGGGCGCAAGCCUGAUCCAGCCAUACCGCGUGGGUGAAGAAGGCCUGCGGGUUGUAAAGCCCUUUUGUUGGGAAAGAAAAGCAGCAGGCUAAUACCCCGCUGUUCUGACGGUACCCAAAGAAUAAGCACCGGCUAACUUCGU
rnacentral:rRNA from 1 species